ensembl:lncRNA
CGCACAAGAUUUUGCAGCAGCGUGGUCAGAACUGAGCUGUGCUGCCCCCGAAAGCCCGGGUUUGAGCAGGAAGGAGGGCGGGGGUUCGGCUUGCUGCCCGCUGCUCCGGGCGUCCCAGGGAUGGGGAGAACGUGCCAAGGAAAGCUACUGGAAGCCAAUUUAUCCCACCGGCCCUAGUCGCAGCAGGGCUCUGGCAUAGGCAAAAGCGGGUGCUGGGCCGGGGCUGCUCUGCUGGCGUUCCCCUCACCUCCCAUCAACUCCACUAAACGCAAAGGGAAACACAUGGCUUUCCGUGCCAGUGAAAGGUUUAUCUAACCAGGAGGAAGUCACUUGCCGCAAGAACAAGGCUGAUAGAGGAGUUUCAGCAGGAGCAGAAAUAUGGCCUCAUUCCCCGUGGCCCGAAGGGCCGUCUGUCCCUCAGCAGCCGGUCAGCUGGACCCAGGGACAGAAAACCCCAGGGCAUCACAUGUCCUCAGUUUGAUCCAUGCCUCCCAGCAAGGCAAGAUGUCCAAGCAGAAAAUACAGUGCUGCCCUCUAAGGGUGCUGCCCUGCCCAGCAGUAUGCGAGUCUCAAACUGCUCUGCGGUGGUACAACCAUGCCCCAAAAUUGCGAUAGUCUAAAAUUCAGACCACGUUUCAUCCUCUGCAAGAAGUUGAGUGCUGAGCUCCCUUCCCUCCCUGUCAGAUACAGGAGACUGGUAACGAACUGGGAUGCUGCACAGCCGAUCUCACAUGCAGCAGCGCAUGCCAGGAUUCCCCCGGCUGAUCCAAGGCGGAAAGCAAGGAGAGGACACCCGAAUCUCCUCAAACCUCUCCUGGCUUCGGUGCCUUCCAUUAACCCUCCCCAAGCGCAGUUAUAACACGCACAGCUCCUGGCAGCUGCCGCCAAAGGGGUAAAAGCACGGAGCAGCGUAUCCCACCACCCGUCGCGUCCCCAGUGCCUCCUGCACUGGGACGUGGAUGUAAAGCCAGACAAACCCCCAGUCCCUGUCCGCCCUCACCCUGCCUUGGCGAGCUGCAAGACGUAGGAGAGCGCUUCUCUUUCCCAAAGGUGAUCAUUUUGAAACCGUCGCCCUGCAGGCAGGAAAUGCUGUGUGGGCUCCCUCUUCCUGCUCUCAGCUGCAAUAUAGCACUGGAACAUAUUCAACUGAUAAUCUUCACGGGCCGAAAGCUUUCCUUCAAAAUAAGGGCAGUUUGUUCCAGCUGGGUUUGGCAUCUGACGAUUUGCUAGGCUAAACGGCCGCAGUGCCCUCAGACCUGCCCAAGCGCCCAAAGGGCAGCGCUGCGGGCAACCUCCCAGCCUGGCUCUCUGCCGCGGCAGCUUCCGAGUAGAGCCUGCCGCGGUCAGGGACCACAGCGGCCACCCAGCACCUUCAGGAGGCACCGGUGGUUCCUUGAAGCCCAAGAGGGGCACAGGUGGGCCUGGCAUCAGGGACUGGAGCAGCCGGAGCGCCGCUCGCCCGGCUCUUUCCCACCAGGAUCGCCUCUCCUUCUCCCCCUCUUCUUGUAGCUCCCUCCUGAAUUAGGAUAGCUGAAGUGCUCGGUCCCCUAAAGCCGACGAGAAAACUCGCUAUCAGCUGCAGCGGGCCCCCUCCCAGGAGCCACUCGCCUGUACAAGCAGAGGCGGUUCCCCUUGCAAAAGGCUCAAGGGACAGGAGAAGCCCAAACAGGAUGAGAAGAGAUGCUCAGGCACAGAAGGGCAAAGGAACAAAACCAAGGUCAAACAGCGGACAGGUGGCAGGGCAGGAAAGAAGAGGCAUCACUUCAGUCAGAAAGCACAAAUAGCUACGUCAUGUUUGUGGGGCAGGAGAGGAAUGGGGACAGCAGGACACGGAGGGUGUAAAUCCGUUGACAUGGAGAACCUUACUACAUCUCCAGUGGUCAACAUGAAACUGUUGGGAGUGGGACAGAGUCAUGUACUGGAUGCGUUUCAUGACAAUGUAAAGUAAUUCUGGAACGCUUGAAUUCUUUCAUUAGAUUUUUGAGCCGCUGUUUUCUUUCUUUAAAGUAACUUUUUAGUUCUAUUUUUACCAAAACAAGUGCAAGAAUGAGGCAUGGCAGAAGCAAAAAUAAUAAUAAUGCAAGCACAAAGGACACAAAUGAUAACGGUGAAGCAGAAAUGGAAGAAAAGAUUAGAAGGAAGGAAAUAGCUGUGCUUGAAAUAACUGCUUUGCCAGUGGCAAGGGACAAUUCCCUGCGAGAAGCUGAUUCAGGCAGAGAGAAAGGGUAGGCAGCACUGGAAAGCGUGACUCACCCGACCCUGGGAAAACGAGAGGGUGGGGAAGGAGCGGAAAGAACUGAACGUAGGAUGGCAAGGAAAAAAAAUAAAAAUAAAACGUGAAUUCUGCGGUGUUCUUCU